rnacentral:lncRNA from 1 species
GAUGAGGCAGAACUCAGCCUGCACUCGCCAUCAACGUCCCAGGGUGGGUCGAUCCUCAGCUGCGAUAGAUGGGCAUGUAAAGUAUUGGUUUACAACCCCGUCGAAUGUACCCGUAAUCGACAAUGCUCCUGAUGGGGUGACCUGUGAUGCUGGUAGAGAUAGCUGAAGGCUGUACGAUGGCAUACUGCUCGAUGGCUCAUCAACCUGAGCUCCAUAACCCGGCUGAUCAUCUCCAAAAACCCCAUCAUGUCCCUCAAUAUGUGGGCCAAGAAGUGCCUCAUAG